rnacentral:rRNA from 1 species
UACAGAGGGGGCAAGCGUUAUUCGGAAUUAUUGGGCGUAAAGGGCGCGUAGGCGGCCCGGCAAGUGGAAGGUGAAAUCCCUCGGCUCAACCGAGGAACUGCCUUCCAAACUGCCUGGGCUUGAAUCCGGGAGAGGGAUGUGGAAUUCCAGGUGUAGCGGUGAAAUGCGUAGAUAUCUGGAGGAACACCGGUGGCGAAGGCGGCAUCCUGGACCGGUAUUGACGCUGAGGAGCGAAAAGCCAGGGGGAGCAAACGGG